GUGCUCACUCUGGCAGCACAUAUACUAAAAUUGGAAGUAGAUAGGGAAGAUUAGCAUUUCUGUACAAGGAUGACAUGCAAAAUUCACGGAGUAUUGUUUUUUUUU